GGCCAGACUCCUACGGGAGGCAGCAGUGGGGAAUAUUGCACAAUGGGGGAAACCCUGAUGCAGCGACGCCGCGUGAGUGAAGAAGUAUUUCGGUAUGUAAAGCUCUAUCAGCAGGGAAGAAAAUGACGGUACCUGACUAAGAAGCCCCGGCUAACUACGUGCCAGCAGCCGCGGUAAUACGUAGGGGGCAAGCGUUAUCCGGAUUUACUGGGUGUAAAGGGAGCGUAGACGGCAUGGCAAGUCAGAUGUGAAAGCCCGGGGCUCAACCCCGGGACUGCAUUUGAAACUGUCAGGCUGGAGUGCAGGAGAGGUAAGUGGAAUUCCUAGUGUAGCGGUGAAAUGCGUAGAUAUUAGGAGGAACACCAGUGGCGAAGGCGGCUUACUGGACUGUAACUGACGUUGAGGCUCGAAAGCGUGGGGAGCAAACAGGAUUAGAUACCCGUGUACUA
rnacentral:rRNA from 1 species